rnacentral:rRNA from 1 species
UACGUAGGGCGCAAGCGUUGUCCGGAAUUAUUGGGCGUAAAGAGCUCGUAGGCGGCUUGUCACGUCGGGUGUGAAAGCCCGGGGCUUAACCCCGGGUCUGCAUUCGAUACGGGCAGGCUAGAGUGCGGUAGGGGAGAUCGGAAUUCCUGGUGUAGCGGUGAAAUGCGCAGAUAUCAGGAGGAACACCGGUGGCGAAGGCGGAUCUCUGGGCCGUAACUGACGCUGAGGAGCGAAAGCAUGGGUAGCGAACAGG